rnacentral:rRNA from 1 species
AUACGAACCGGACAAACGUUAUUCGGAAUUAUUGGGCUUAAAGGGUGCGUAGGCGGCGCGGUAAGUGAGGUGUGAAAGCCCACGGCUCAACCGUGGAAUUGCGCUUCAUACUGCCGUGCUAGAGGGAGACAGAGGUAAGCGGAACUGAUGGUGGAGCGGUGAAAUGCGUUGAUAUUAUCAGGAACACCGGUGGCGAAAGCGGCUUACUGGGUCUCUCCUGACGCUGAGGCACGAAAGCUAGGGUAGCGAACGGGAUUAGAAACCCCAGUAGUCC